GACAGAGGUGCCGAGCGUUAGGCGGAAUCACUGGGCUUAAAGCGUGUGUAGGCGGAUCGUUAAGUGUCUUGUGAAAUCCCACGGCUCAACCGUGGAACUGCUGGGCAUACUGGCGAUCUUGGGCCACCUAGGGGCAGACGGAACAGGCGGUGGAGCGGUGAAAUGCGUAGAUAUUGCUCGGAAGGCCAGAGCCGAAGGGGCCCUACUGGUGCGCAACUGACACUGAGGCACGAAAGCGUGGGGAGCAAACAGG
rnacentral:rRNA from 1 species